rnacentral:lncRNA from 1 species
UUGAUGAUAGUUGUCUUGAUCGAGCGCUUCUAAGUAACAAGAUUCGCAUUCCGGGUGAUCUACCGAUACAAACAAAUACACACAAUAAUCUCUACAAUCAUCAACAAGUAAAAUAACAUCACAAGUAAAAAAAUAGCUAUGGCCUAAGUGAAAGAAUUCACUUCACCUAACUAAGGCAGAAAUUGUUUCUGUUAAAACCUCAAGUAAAAAUAUUUAAAAAAAAA